rnacentral:rRNA from 2 species
ACAGUGGACACAGGUGGUGCAUGGUUGUCGUCAGCUCGUGUCGUGAGAUGUUGGGUUAAGUCCCGCAACGAGCGCAACCCUUGUCUUUAGUUGCCAGCAUUAAGUUGGGCACUCUAGAGAGACUGCCGAUGACAAAUCGGAGGAAGGUGGGGAUGACGUCAAAUCAUCAUGCCCUUUAUGUCCUGGGCUACACACGUGCUACAAUGGUCGGUACAACGAGAAGCAAGCUAGCGAUAGCAAGCAAAUCUCUAAAAGCCGAUCCCAGUUCGGAUUGCAGGCUGCAACUCGCCUGCAUGAAGUCGGAGUUGCUAGUAAUCGCGGAUCAGAAUGCCGCGGUGAAUGCGUUCCCGGGUCUU